UAUUGCACAAUGGGCGAAAGCCUGAUGCAGCAACGCCGCGUGAGGGAUGACGGCUUUCGGGUUGUAAACCUCUUUUAGAAGGGAAGAAGCGUAAGUCACGGUACCUUCAGAAAACGCACCGGCUAACUACGUGCCAGCAGCCGCGGUAAUACGUAGGGUGCAAGCGUUGUCCGGAAUUAUUGGGCGUAAAGAGCUCGUAGGCGGUUUGUCGCGUCUGCUGUGAAAUCCCGAGGCUCAACCUCGGGCUUGCAGUGGGUACGGGCAGACUAGAGUGCGGUAGGGGAGAUUGGAAUUCCUGGUGUAGCGGUGGAAGGCGCAGAUAUCAGGAGGAACACCGAUGGCGAAGGAAGAUCUCUGGGCCGUAACUGACGCUGAGGAGCGAAAGCGUGGGGAGCGAACAG
rnacentral:rRNA from 1 species